GAUGAAGAACGCAGCGAAAUGCGAUAAGUAAUGUGAAUUGCAGAAUUCAGUGAAUCAUCGAAUCUUUGAACGCACAUUGCGCCCGCCAGUAUUCUGGCGGGCAUGCCUGUUCGAGCGUCAUUUCAACCAUCAAGCCCCGGGCUUGUGUUGGGGACCUGCGGCUGCCGCAGGCCCUGAAAUGCAGUGGCGGGCUCGCUGUCACUCCGAGCGUAGUAGUUACAUCUCGCUCUGGGCGUGCUGCGGGUUCCGGCCGUUAAAAGCCUUAUUUACCCAAGGUUGACCUCGGAUCAGGUAGGAAGACCCGCUGAACUUAAGCAUAUCAAUAGGCGGAGGA
rnacentral:misc_RNA from 1 species